GCAAACUUGGUCAUUUAGAGGAAGUAAAAGUCGUAACAAGGUUUCCGUAGGUGAACCUGCGGAAGGAUCAUUAUUGAAUGUGAAGGCUCGGGUUGUAGCUGGUCCUCUCUGUGGGGGGGGACAUGUGCUCGCCCGAUGCCCUUUCCAACACACCCCUGUGCACAAAUGCGUGGACGCGCGCCGGAUAGCUUUUGCUGUCUGGUGUGUAUCUGCGUCUUUCACAUACCCUUACGAAUGUUAAUGAAUGUCUACCUUGCGUUAAUCGCAUCUAAUACAACUUUCAACAACGGAUCUCUUGGCUCUCGCAUCGAUGAAGAACGCAGC
rnacentral:misc_RNA from 1 species